rnacentral:rRNA from 1 species
UACGUAGGGUGCGAGCGUUGUCCGGAAUUAUUGGGCGUAAAGGGCUCGUAGGCGGCUUGUCGCGUCGGAUGUGAAAGCCCGGGGCUUAACUCCGGGUCUGCAUUCGAUACGGGCAGGCUAGAGUUCGGUAGGGGAGAUCGGAAUUCCUGGUGUAGCGGUGAAAUGCGCAGAUAUCAGGAGGAACACCGGUGGCGAAGGCGGGUCUCUGGGCCGAUACUGACGCUGAGGAGCGAAAGCGUGGGGAGCGAACAGG